AGGGUUUGAUCCUGGCUCAGGAUGAACGCUAGCUACAGGCUUAACACAUGCAAGUCGAGGGGAAACGAUAUUGGAAGCUUGCUUCCGAUAGGCGUCGACCGGCGCACGGGUGAGUAACGCGUAUCCAACCUGCCGUCUACUCUUGGACAGCCUUCUGAAAGGAAGAUUAAUACAAGAUGGCAUCAUGAGUCCGCAUGUUCACAUGAUUAAAGGUAUUCCGGUAGACGAUGGGGAUGCGUUCCAUUAGAUAGUAGGCGGGGUAACGGCCCACCUAGUCUUCGAUGGAUAGGGGUUCUGAGAGGAAGGUCCCCCACAUUGGAACUGAGACACGGUCCAA
rnacentral:rRNA from 1 species